GAAAUUCCGGAGAAUCCCUUACUUUUUAAGGGUGCCGAAGGUGCAAGAGGGCAAAACCUCGAAUCUCUCAGGCAAAAGGACGGAAC
rnacentral:ncRNA from 1 species